rnacentral:rRNA from 1 species
CGGGAAACCGGGGCUAAACCCGGAUAACAUGUGAACCGCAUGGUUCGAAAAUUGAAAGGCGGCUUCCGGCUGUCACUAAUGGAUGGACCGCCGUCGCAUAGCUAGUUGGUGAGGUAACGGCUCACCAAGGGAACGAUGCGUAGCCGACCUGAGAGGGUGAUGGCCACACGGGACUGAGACACGGCCCAGAUCCUACGGGAGGCAGCAGUAGGGAAUCUUCCGCAAUGGACGAAAGUGAGGAGAACGCCGCGUGAGUGAGAAGGCCGGGUCGAAACUCGUUGUAGGGAAGACAAGUGCAGUGAAAAGCGCACCUGGACGUACCAACCAGAAAGCAGCGAUACGUGCCAGCAGCAGCGUAAAGUAGGGGCA